rnacentral:rRNA from 1 species
AUUGAACGCUGGCGGCAGGCCUAACACAUGCAAGUCGAGCGGCAGCGGGAAAGUAGCUUGCUACUUUUGCCGGCGAGCGGCGGACGGGUGAGUAAUGCCUGGGAAAUUGCCCAGUCGAGGGGGAUAACAGUUGGAAACGACUGCUAAUACCGCAUACGCCCUACGGGGGAAAGCAGGGGACCUUCGGGCCUUGCGCGAUUGGAUAUGCACAGGUGGGAUUAGCUAGUUGGUGAGGUAAUGGCUCACCAAGGGGACGAUCCCUAGCUGGUCUGAGAGGAUGAUCAGCCACACUGGAACUGAGACACGGUCCAGACUCCUACGGGAGGCAGCAGUGGGGAAUAUUGCACAAUGGGGGAAACCCUGAUGCAGCCAUGCCGCGUGUGUGAAGAAGGCCUUCGGGUUGUAAAGCACUUUCAGCGAGGAGGAAAGGAUGGUGCCUAAUACGUAUCAUCUGUGACGUUACUCGCAGAAGAAGCACCGGCUAACUCCGUGCCAGCCGCCGCAGUAAGAC